rnacentral:tRNA from 1 species
GUGAACAUAGUUUAUAAAAAAUUCUAGUCUGUGACCCUAGAGAAGGGAGUUAACAGCUCCCUGUUCACC